rnacentral:misc_RNA from 1 species
GCUAGGCAGCUUAGAUUUGGUCGAUCUGGAGGUCGAUUCUCCGGCUGGCGGAUCUGACACUGUCGAAACGAGGUGCGAGCGGUGUAGGGUAGGCUAGUUUCGUCCUCGCCAGGUUGCGAUUUGGACGAUAUAUGUGGUCUAGGGUAUGCUCUAGGGUAAGUAGAAUUCGAGUUUCGUCGCCGACAGUUUUCUGUGGGUGUAUGGUAGGUACAGGGUAGGCAAAUCUCUCUCCGGCCAGUACUUGUCUGGUGGUCGUGAGUCGAUUUUUUUGUUUUGCCAUACUAUUGAAUUUUGCGGAAAUUCAAAAGUGGCUCGGGAGUCCCGCCUGGCGUGCGUCCGACUUGAACAUCGUCGGUGUACAUAUGAGAGGGAGUAAUCCGGCCCGGCCGGGGCCCAUCACGAGCUGCCGGGUAGGUAAAAGUAAAAAAGUUGUUAAGAGGCGCGGUGUCGGCGUGCUUGUAUUUGCGGGAGAGAAUUAUCUGGAGGUGCUGGGUAGCCGGGAAGACUUGGACGGAUCUGGCCCGGGAAUGGGUCUGGGCCUGGAUUCUGGUGUGGUGUAGGGUAGGCGUAGAUAGAUGAGUGGUCUAGGGUAGAUACAGGGUAGCCAGAAGUCUGGUAUAUAGUAUGGGGGUGUAGGGUAGGUCUGGACACCGUUUUCCACUUCGCCCUUCCCUUUAGUCGAGGGAGGACGAUCUUGGCUGGGACGGAGGUGUAGGGUAGGCUUAAUUUACGAUUACAUGAUCUGUGUCACUCUAGGGUAGGUGAAAAUCCCAUAUAUAUAUGAUCACAUUUGGUGAAGAGGUGGUUUGGCUGGUGAGAUGGACAAAAGUGCAAUAUAGAAUUAUAUGUGAUUUUGCAAAAGUGGGUGUGAAAUUGGGAAAUCGGUUUUCCCGCACAGAUGAGAGCACGUUUGAGGUGCCAUGAGAUGCACCUCUCCGAGACGACCUCAACGGUACCGCCGAUGUGUUGGUCGGGCUCCUGUGCGGCCGUCCAGGGCGGGAUAAGUAAAAGAUGUGGUGGUGUAGGGUAGGUAGAUAGGUCCAGGGUAGGUUCACUAGAUCCGUCAAUUCGGCUUUAAUCGAAGGACAGGUCUAGGGUAGGCCAGAGUCGGGUCUAGGGUAGGCAGCUCUCACCCUCGAAGUGGUCUACCCGGUAGCCAACUUCAAUCGCCUCUCACGGCCGCCACGGACCUCGCAUGACGACGGGACUACCACCAUCGGAUUUGCCUUGGUCGAAAUAGUUGGUAUAUGCACUUUUGAAAAAAUGCGUGCAAAAUGGUUUUGUGGUUUGGUGGCCGUGAGUCGAUUUUUUUGUUUUCCCCAUACAAAUGAAUUUUGCGGAAAAUAAAAAGUGGCCCACGAGGCAGCUCUGGCGUGCGGCCCACUAAAACGGUCUCGGAGGGUAUAUGAGAAGGGAGCAAAUCCGGCCGAGCCUGAAAGGGUGAGGACAAACCGGGCGAGCAACCUCUCAGUAUCAGAUCUUGCAGACUUCCACUGCGUGUCCCUCUGUACAGCUUUGCAGGCUCCGGCCUCGGCAGCGGGGGGUUCAUAGUGGUCGUCGACCUCCACGAAACUGCACGCUCCGGCGUGACAGCGUACUGGGGAUGCCUGUGUAGAUGCAGUCCGGGCUUGCCUGGACCGCUAGCAGAUGGGCUCUGUGGAUGACUGGCCGCUGGCUAGACCUGAAACCUGAGCAACGGGAGGUAACCUCUCGCCGCGGACACCGGAAUGGUAGAAGCGGCGUGCUGCGUCCUCCUCUUGGGGCCCCU